UACGGAGGUCUCGAGCGUUGUUCGGAUUCAUUGGGCGUAAAGGGUGCGUAGGCGGCGCGGUAAGUCGGGUGUGAAAUCCUGGAGCUCAACUCCAGAACUGCCUUUGAUACUGGCGAUCUUGAGUCCGGGAGAGGUGAGUGGAACUGCGAGUGUAGAGGUGAAAUUCGUAGAUAUUCGCAAGAACACCAGUGGCGAAGGCGGCUCACUGGCCCGAUACUGACGCUGAGGCACGAAAGCGUGGGGAGCAAACAGG
rnacentral:rRNA from 1 species